GAUGAACGCUAGCGGCAGGCCUAACACAUGCAAGUCGAGGGGCAUCGCGGUGCAGCAAUGCACUGGCGGCGACCGGCGUACGGGUGCGUAACGCGUAUGCAACCUGCCCCGCACCGGGGGAUAGCCCGCCGAAAGGCGGAUUAAUACCCCAUGGCCCCGGGGGCCCGCAUGGGCAUCCGGGUAAAGCCUUGGCGGUGCGGGAUGGGCAUGCGUGCCAUUAGCUGGCUGGUGGGGUAACGGCCCACCAGGGCAACGAUGGCUAGGGGGUCUGAGAGGAUGGUCCCCCACACUGGUACUGAGACACGGACCAGACUCCUACGGGAGGCAGCAGUGAGGAAUAUUGGUCAAUGGGCGGAAGCCUGAACCAGCCAUGCCGCGUGCGGGAUGAAGGCCCUACGGGUUGUAAACCGCUUUUCCCCCGGGAAGAAUAAGCCCCCCGCGGGGGUCGAGUGCCGGUACCGGGGAAUAAGGAUCGGCUAACUCCGUGCCAGCAGCCGCGGUAACACGAGAGUA
rnacentral:rRNA from 1 species